rnacentral:rRNA from 1 species
GACGAACGCUGGCGGCGUGCUUAACACAUGCAAGUCGAACGAGGUCCAUGGAGUAGCAAUACUCCGGAAGACCUAGUGGCGAACGGGUGCGUAACACGUGAGGAACUUGUCCCGGUCUCUGGGAUAACAGUUGGAAACGACUGCUAAUACCGGAUGACGUCGGAGCGUCGCAUGGCGCGCUGACGAAAGGGUUACUGGAUCGGGAGAGCCUCGCGGCCUAUCAGCUAGUUGGUGGGGUAACGGCCUACCAAGGCAUCGACGGGUAGCUGGUCUGAGAGGAUGAUCAGCCACACAGGGACUGAGAAACGGCCCAGACUCCUACGGGAGGCAGCAGUGGGGAAUCUUGCGCAAUGGGCGAAAGCCUGACGCAGCAACGCCGCGUGUAGGAUGAAGGCCCUCGGGUCGUAAACUACUUUUUGGGAGUCAUGAAGGCGCCCAGAAUAAGGAACUACUAACUACGUGCCAGCCGCCGCAGUAA